rnacentral:misc_RNA from 1 species
GUAGGUGAACCUGCGGAAGGAUCAUUCAUAAUAAGUGUUUUAUGGCACUUUUUAAAUCCAUAUCCACCUUGUGUGCAAUGUCGGUCGAUCUUCUUCAUGGAGAUCGACCAAACAUCAACCUUUAUCUUUUAACUCUUUGUCUGAAAAAUAUUAUGAAUAAACAAUUCAAAAUACAACUUUCAACAACGGAUCUCUUGGCUCUCGCAUCGAUGAAGAACGCAGCAUCUGACUGACUCGGAAGUGUCUGAUC